UGGGGAAUAUUGGACAAUGGGCGCAAGCCUGAUCCAGCCAUGCCGCGUGAGUGAUGAAGGCCCUAGGGUUGUAAAGCUCUUUCACCGGUGAAGAUAAUGACGGUAACCGGAGAAGAAGCCCCGGCUAACUUCGUGCCAGCAGCCGCGGUAAUACGAAGGGGGCUAGCGUUGUUCGGAUUUACUGGGCGUAAAGCGCACGUAGGCGGACUAUUAAGUCAGGGGUGAAAUCCCGGGGCUCAACCCCGGAACUGCCUUUGAUACUGGUAGUCUUGAGUUCGAGGGAGGUGAGUGGAAGUCCGAGUGUAGAGGUGAAAUUCGUAGAUAUUCGGGGGAACACCAGUGGCGAAGGCGGCUCACUGGCUCGAUACUGACGCUGAGGUGCGAAAGCGUGGGGAGCAAACAGG
rnacentral:rRNA from 1 species